rnacentral:sRNA from 1 species
CGAUUCUCUUAUUAACACGCAGCCGUCAGGGAGUAUACAACAAAGACUAUGGGAUUUCUAAACACCCUCACAGUUAAGGAAUCAAAAGAGGAAUUGUUUAAAAUGCUGCAUUCGGUAACCACCCUGGACAUGGCGGGGUGUUCAAACAGCUCUUCCAGACCCCUCCAGCAACCAUAAGAGAAUAGGGGCUGGAAAUUAAUUGUAGUUUUGGGGCCGCCCGAAGGCGUAAAGUUUCUUUGCAUGUGGUAGGUGGAAAUAGUCAGCGGAGAGACCACGCAACAGGGUUCUUAGACGAAUAUUUCGAGGUGUUACAAACGGAAUGACUAGAUAAGUAUACCCCCAUCCUAUGUUGGUGGGUAUAAAAAAGGUUGCCAAACAAUUCAUUAUAAAGAGUUUAGUUUGUGUGAGAAUUUCAACUUGCGAUGUAAAAACAAUUACAGAGAAGUAUUCAUUAUUGAGAAGUUCGUUAUAGAGAGGUUAAAUAGGUGAAAAUUUUUAUUCGUUAUAGAGAAGCUCGAGUGUAAAUAAAUCUAACCUAAAUUAAAUUCUCAUAUCUGGAACACGUCAUGGGAAAUAACAAAUUCCUAAUUUUGCAAGAAAUUCUCAAGGGAAAAGUUGAUGCAAGACAUGGUAGUGGCAAAAAUGAGACGUCAUGGCUGAAAAAUAUCCAGGAUUGGAACGGCUAUAUCAAUGACCGCACCCUCCUUUGUGCCGCUAAAAAUUUAGAACUGAUAAUUAUCGCCUAACAAAUUAUUAAAAGUUCAAAUUCAAUAUCUACAUACAUACAUUACUUUUAACAUUUUCAUAUAUGUACAUAGGUACAAAAAUUGUUCUAUUACUAAUAUCCGAAUCAGAUGAGUGAAUAAAGAUUAAUCGCAACAUGCCACUAUGCACGUACACCUAA